rnacentral:rRNA from 1 species
AACCUGGUUGGGUGGUCUGCCUUCACGGUACGUACUGCUUGGCCGGGUUCUACCUCUUGGUGAGCCGGCAUGCCCUUCACUGGGUGUGUCGGGGAACCAGGACUUUUACCUUGAAAAAAUUAGAGUGUUCAAAGCAGGCAUGUGCCGGAAUAAUUGCGCUGGGAAUAAUGGAAUAGGACC